UACAGAGGUCUCAAGCGUUGUUCGGAUUCAUUGGGCGUAAAGGGCUCGCAGGUGGUCCGUCGCGUCGUGCGUGAAAGCCCCCGGCUCAACUGGGGAGUGUCGUGCGAUACGGGCGGACUGGAGGCCAGUAGGGGGAUGCGGAAUUCCGGGUGUAGUGGUGGAAUGCGUAGAGAUCCGGAGGAACACCAGCGGCGAAGGCGGCAUCCUGGACUGGUCCUGACACUCAUGAGCGAAAGCGUGGGGAGCGAUCCGG
rnacentral:rRNA from 1 species